rnacentral:rRNA from 1 species
CAGUCGCGUCUGCUGGGACUCAGCCUUGCUUCUGCUUGGUGCACUUCUCAGUAGAUGGGCCAGCAUCAAUUUCGGAUGCCAUAAAUGACUGGAGAAUGUAGCUUGAUCUCGUAUUGAAGUGUUAUAGCCUUCGGUA